rnacentral:lncRNA from 1 species
GAAGAUAUUGCAUAUUUCUUGGCUUUCCGCCGAAUUAGGAGGAAUUAUUUUUUGUCAUUCCUUUGUCAGUGCUGAUAUUUUUGCUGUGGUUUGAUCCAUCCCUACAACAUAAAAAAAAAUUCUAACCCUAAACACUACCUAUUUCCCCCUGCCACUAUCUAUCCUGUGACUACCGUCGUUGGUGCCAUCUCGCCAUUCAUCACCAUGCCAAGUGUUGAUGCCUUUAUUUCUUCACCUGCUUCUGGUUCUACUUCACCUACUGCUUC